rnacentral:rRNA from 1 species
UGUUGACGUUAAAAAGCUCUAGUUGGAUUUCGGAAUGGGUCAGUUGGUCCGCCUCACGGUGUGUUACUGACUGGUCUGUUCUUCUUCGCAAAGACUGUGUAUUCUCUUUAUUGAGUGUGCAUAGGAUUUACGACGUUUACUUUGAAAAAAUUAGAGUGUUCAAAGCAGGCCUACCGCUUGAAUACAUGAGCAUGGAAUAAUGGAAUAGGACUUUGGUCUUAUUUUGUUGGUUUCUAAGACCGAAGUAAUGAUUAAGAGGGACAGUUGGGGGCAUUCGUAUUUCGUUGUCAGAGGUGAAAUUCUUGGAUUUACGAAAGACGAACAACUGCGAAAGCAUUUGCCAAGAAUGUUUUCAUUAAUCAAG